rnacentral:rRNA from 1 species
GAGUUUGAUCCUGGCUCAGGACGAACGCUGGCGGCGUGCCUAAUGCAUGCAAGUCGAACGCAGCAGGCGUGCCUGGCUGCGUGGCGAACGGCUGAGGAACACGUGGGUAACCUGCCCCAGAGUGGGGGAUACCCCGUCGAAAGACGGGACAAUCCCGCAUACGCUCUUUGGAGGAAAGCCAGACGGCGCUCUGGGAGGGGCCUGCGGCCCAUCAGGUAGUUGGUGUGGUAACGGCGCACCAAGCCAAUGACGGGUACCCGGUCUGAGAGGACGACCGGGCAGACUGGGACUGCGACACGGCCCAGACUCCUACGGGAGGCAGCAGCAAGGAAUUUUCCCCAAUGGGCGCAAGCCUGAGGGAGCAACGCCGCGUGGAGGACGACGGCCUUCGGGUUGUAAACUCCUUUCGGGUGGGACGAGCCUGACGGUACCACCAGGAGCAGCCCCGGCUAACUCUGUGCCAGCAGCCGCGGUAAGACAGAGGGGGCAAGCGUUGUCCGGAGUUACUGGGCGUAAAGGGCGCGCAGGCGGUGGGCUGCGUCGGCGCUGAAAGCGCCCCGCUUAACGGGGCGAGGUGCGCCGAUACGAGUUCACUCGAGGCAAGCAGAGGGUGGCGGAAUUCCGGGUGGAGCGGUGAAAUGCGUAGAGAUCCGGAGGAACGCCGGUGGGGAAGCCGGCCACCUGGGCUUGACCUGACGCUGCGGCGCGACAGCGUGGGGAGCAAACCGGAUUAGAUACCCGGGUAGUCCACGCCGUAAACGAUGCCGGCUCGGCGUCUGGCGCACGUUAGUGUGCUGGGUGCCUUAGCUCACGCGGUAAGCCGGCCGCCUGGGGACUACGAGCGCAAGCUUAAAACUCAAAGGAAUUGACGGUGGCCC